rnacentral:lncRNA from 1 species
CUCUUGCUAGUGCUCUGUACACUUCAUACCUUCUAGAAAAGUUGUAGUAGUCUUUCACUUCCCAAAGAGUCCUUCUGAUAAUAGACUUCCAAGCCAAACAUAACAAAGACGGCAACUAGCUCGCCAACUAACCACACUCAGCGCUCUGAAAGAACAGCUUAUGCCUAUGCCAUUUGAUUCAUAAAAGGAAGGUUCAGUUCCGUUUGUUUACCUUCUUACCCCUUCUUUUUCUCAUUGAGUGUCCUCCUCUCCUUAUCAGUAGACUCAAACCUGUAUCGAACUCAGAGAUUGAAUAGGAAGAUAACUCUAUGCA